rnacentral:misc_RNA from 1 species
CCUUUGCGAAUCGGAAAGGAAAAGCAGAAGCUGUCAUCUGCUUCUCUUUCUCUCUCUACUUUCGCUGCAAUUUAUAGCAGAGGCUUCAAGCUUGUGUUAAAUUAAUGGAAGACCUUAGAAUCUAAACCAUUUCUCCAAGACGCAAAAGCGCUUUUCUUUUUUCUUUAUUUAUAAAACGGCACAGCGUUUUGGAUCGGUAAUAGAGAGAUUGGGAAAUUUCUUUAGUCUUAGGGCAUAUGGCAGACUCAUCGAAGGAAGAGCUGUUGCAGCUGAUCAAGCGAUUCGGCGCUUACAUAACUGUCAAGAUGUCUAAUCUCUUCUCGAUCUCCUUCCAUAACCUGGAUUCUCGAUCUGUUGGGGCUGUUGCAGGCCUUGCUGUUGCAAUAGUCUUUACAUGGAGGUUGUUGAGGUCACCUGGCAGACCUCAACGACGGCAACCAAAACGACAAUCUCCUACAACUAGUAGCUCUGUUGUCAGUACUCAAUCAAAUUCAACAUUGAUACCAUCUGGAGUUUGUUCAUCAUCAGAGGAUUUGAGAGCACAAAAUGUUAUUGAUGAAUUCUUUCAACCAGUAAAACCAACUUUGGGACAGAUAGUUAGACAGAAAUUAAGUGAAGGAAGAAAGGUGACAUGCCGUUUACUUGGAGUAAUCCUUGAAGAAAGUGCUCCAGAUGAGCUUCAGAAACAAGCUACUGUGAGGUCCUCUGUGCUGGAAGUGCU